rnacentral:piRNA from 1 species
UAGUGUGGAAUUCAGGUAACAAUCAAUACA